rnacentral:tRNA from 1 species
GCGCCCUUCGUCUAUCGGUUAGGACGUCAGGUUUUCAACCUGAAAAGAGGGGUUCGAUUCCCCUAGGGCGUACCA